GGACAUAGUCGAGUUUUUGGACACGGAAAAUGGCGUCUCCUCAGACGGUGUUCGCAUAGGUGGCGUUGUGUUCUCGGAAAUCGCGAAGACGGUGACGAAAUUCAACUAUCUGGAACACCCCGUGCAGAGCUCACUCACCGCUGUGCAGGGGCAGAUACAGGCGAUACCAUUUGACAAUGGCGGACAUACUGCCACGAGAGUGGGUUUGCAGCGAGCCACCGACAUUCUUCGGGCAUACGGUCGGACCGAUUCCCAGAAAUCCGUGUUCGUGUUGACCGACGGGCAGUCAAACCGAGGCGGAAAUCCGUGCUCAAAAGCGGCAGAGAUGAAAAGUUAUGGCUACGAAGUGUUCGUGUGGGCGAUUGGAGCCAACACUGGAAGCAGCGCUCAGGCGGAGUUGGAAUGCAUUGCCACUGACUCCAGCCACAUAUUCAAGAUCGACAGUUUCAGCAGCGCGCGGGAUGUCACUACUCGCGUCCGUGUACUUCUUGGCUGAAUACAAAAUUUACAGUUUUGUUUUAUAUAUUUUUUAUUUUACAACGUCGACAUCUCAUCGUUAAUAAAAUAGUUUCUAUCCAAAUUUUCUAUUAAACUGGCUAAAAACUACGUUAUAAUACUCAUUCGCACUAACAAAUAUGAUUGUUAUUCCGGUUAUUCCAGUUAUUAUAAUCAUCGCAAUGUUUAUUCUUAGCAUACGUGAUAGAGUCGAGUCGGCUCAGCGUGUUUAGUGAUGUCAGACUUGUUUCAUAUAUCGCUUCAUUACGAAUAAAUCUAUUCGUCUAA